UGGGGAAUUUUGGACAAUGGGGGAAACCCUGAUCCAGCCAUCCCGCGUGUGCGAUGAAGGCCUUCGGGUUGUAAAGCACUUUUGGCAGGAAAGAAACGUCAUGGGUUAAUACCCCGUGAAACUGACGGUACCUGCAGAAUAAGCACCGGCUAACUACGUGCCAGCAGCCGCGGUAAUACGUAGGGUGCAAGCGUUAAUCGGACUUACUGGGCGUAAAGCGUGCGCAGGCGGUUCGGAAAGAAAGAUGUGAAAUCCCAGAGCUCAACUUUGGAACUGCAUUUUUAACUACCGAGCUAGAGUGUGUCAGAUGGAGGUGGAAUUCCGCGUGUAGGAGUGAAAUGCGUAGAUAUGCGGAGGAACACCGAUGGCGAAGGCAGCCUCCUGGGAUAACACUGACGCUCAUGCACGAAAGCGUGGGGAGCAAACAGG
rnacentral:rRNA from 1 species